UACGUAGGGGGCUAGCGUUGUCCGGAUUUAUUGGGCGUAAAGAGCGUGUAGGCGGCCAGGUAGGUCCGCUGUGAAAGUCCGAGGCUCAACCUCGGAAUGUCGGCGGAAACCCUCUGGCUAGAGUCCGGAAGAGGAGAGUGGAAUUCCCGGUGUAGCGGUGAAAUGCGCAGAUAUCAGGAAGAACACCCGUGGCGAAGGCGGCCUCUGGUGG
rnacentral:rRNA from 1 species